rnacentral:rRNA from 1 species
UGUAACGGGGCUAAACCAUGCACCGAAGCUGCGGCAGCGACACUGUGUGUUGUUGGGUAGGGGAGCGUUCUGUAAGCCUGUGAAGGUGUGUCGUGAGGCAUGCUGGAGGUAUCAGAAGUGCGAAUGCUGACAUAAGUAACGAUAAAGCGGGUGAAAAGCCCGCUCGCCGGAAGACCAAGGGUUCCUGUCCAACGUUAAUCGGGGCAGGGUGAGUCGACCCCUAAGGCGAGGCCGAAAGGCGUAGUCGAUGGGAAACGGGUUAAUAUUCCCGUACUUGGUGUUACUGCGAAGGGGGGACGGAGAAGGCUAUGUUGGCCGGGCGACGGUUGUCCCGGUUUAAGCGUGUAGGUGUGUGUUCCAGGUAAAUCCGGUUCACUUUAACACUGAGGCGUGACGACGAGGCACUACGGUGCUGAAGCAACAAAUGCCCUGCUUCCAGGAAAAGCCUCUAAGCAUCAGGUAACAUCAAAUCGUACCCCAAACCGACACAGGUGGUCAGGUAGAGAAUACCAAGGCGCUUGAGAGAACUCGGGUGAAGGAACUAGGCAAAAUGGUGCCGUAACUUCGGGAGAAGGCACGCUGACACGUAGGUGAAGUGAUUUACUCAUGGAGCUGAAGUCAGUCGAAGAUACCAGCUGGCUGCAACUGUUUAUUAAAAACACAGCACUGUGCAAACACGAAAGUGGACGUAUACGGUGUGACGCCUGCCCGGUGCCGGAAGGUUAAUUGAUGGGGUCAGCGCAAGCGAAGCUCCUGAUCGAAGCCCCGGUAAACGGCGGCCGUAACUAUAACGGUCCUAAGGUAGCGAAAUUCCUUGUCGGGUAAGUUCCGACCUGCACGAAUGGCGUAAUGAUGGCCAGGCUGUCUCCACCCGAGACUCAGUGAAAUUGAACUCGCUGUGAAGAUGCAGUGUACCCGCGGCAAGACGGAAAGACCCCGUGAACCUUUACUAUAGCUUGACACUGAACAUUGAGCCUUGAUGUGUAGGAUAGGUGGGAGGCUUUGAAGUGUGGACGCCAGUCUGCAUGGAGCCGACCUUGAAAUACCACCCUUUAAUGUUUGAUGUUCUAACGUGGACCCGUUACCCGGGUUGCGGACAGUGUCUGGUGGGUAGUUUGACUGGGGCGGUCUCCUCCUAAAGAGUAACGGAGGAGCACGAAGGUUGGCUAAUCCUGGUCGGACAUCAGGAGGUUAGUGCAAUGGCAUAAGCCAGCUUGACUGCGAGCGUGACGGCGCGAGCAGGUGCGAAAGCAGGUCAUAGUGAUCCGGUGGUUCUGAAUGGAAGGGCCAUCGCUCAACGGAUAAAAGGUACUCCGGGGAUAACAGGCUGAUACCGCCCAAGAGUUCAUAUCGACGGCGGUGUUUGGCACCUCGAUGUCGGCUCAUCACAUCCUGGGGCUGAAGUAGGUCCCAAGGGUAUGGCUGUUCGCCAUUUAAAGUGGUACGCGAGCUGGGUUUAGAACGUCGUGAGACAGUUCGGUCCCUAUCUGCCGUGGGCGCUGGAGAACUGAGGGGGGCUGCUCCUAGUACGAGAGGACCGGAGUGGACGCAUCACUGGUGUUCGGGUUGUCAUGCCAAUGGCACUGCCCGGUAGCUAAAUGCGGAAGAGAUAAGUGCUGAAAGCAUCUAAGCACGAAACUUGCCCCGAG